rnacentral:rRNA from 1 species
AGCGGUGGAGCAUGUGGUUUAAUUCGAAGCAACGCGAAGAACCUUACCAGGUCUUGACAUCCUUUGACCACUCUAGAGAUAGAGCUUCCCCUUCGGGGGCAAAGUGACAGGUGGUGCAUGGUUGUCGUCAGCUCGUGUCGUGAGAUGUUGGGUUAAGUCCCGCAACGAGCGCAACCCUUAUUGUUAGUUGCCAUCAUUCAGUUGGGCACUCUAGCAAGACUGCCGGUGACAAACCGGAGGAAGGUGGGGAUGACGUCAAAUCAUCAUGCCCCUUAUGACCUGGGCUACACACGUGCUACAAUGGGAAGUACAACGAGUUGCGAAGUCGCGAGGCUAAGCUAAUCUCUUAAAGCUUCUCUCAGUUCGGAUUGCAGGCUGCAACUCGCCUGCAUGAAGCCGGAAUCGCUAGUAAUCGCGGAUCAGCACGCCGCGGUGAAUACGUUCCCGGGCCUUGUACACACCGCCCGUCACACCACGAGAGUUUGU